UCUGGUUGAUCCUGCCUGAACUGAUGUGUUCAUUUCAAAGAUUAAGCCAUGCAUGUAUAAGUUUAAUCGUUUUAACGAGAAACCGCGAACGGCUCAUUACAAUGGCCAUGAUUUACUUGAUCUUGAUUAUCUAAAUGGAUAACUGUGGAAAAGCUAGAGCUAAUACAUGCACCAAAGCUUUGUCCUCUCGGAAAAGCGCAUUUAUUAGAACAAAACCACGCGGCUUCGGCUGCUUCUUGUUGACUCAGAAUAACUAAGCUGACCGCAUGGCCUUGUGCCGGCGGCGUGUCUUUCAAGCGUCCACUUUAUCAACUUGACGGGAGCAUAAUCGACUCCCGUGGUGGUGACGGAUAACGGAGGAUCAGGGUUCGACUCCGGAGAAGGGGCCUGAGAAAUGGCCACUACGUCUAAGGAUGGCAGCAGGCGCGCAAAUUACCCACUCUCGGCUCGAGGAGGUAGUGACGAGAAAUAACGAGAUCGUUCUCUUUGAGGCCGGUCAUCGGAAUGGGUACAAUUUAAACCCUUUAACGAGUAUCAAGCAGAGGGCAAGUCUGGUGCCAGCAGCCGCGGUAAUUCCAGCUCUGCUAAUACAUAGAAUUAUUGCUGCGGUUAAAAAGCUCGUAGUUGGAUUCGUAUCGGUACCCUGGAACCCUCCGGGUGUUUCUGGGUGUUAUCGAUUUGUCGUAAUGUUCGGUUUUGAGUCCUUAACAGGAUUCUUAACAGGCAUUGCAAGUUUACUUUGAACAAAUCAGAGUGCUUCAAACAGGCGUUUUCGCUUGAAUGAUCGUGCAUGGAAUAAUAGAAAACGAUUUCGGUUCAGUUUUAUUGGUUUUACGGACUGAGAUAAUGGUUAACAGAGACAAACGGGGGCAUUUGUAUGGCCCCGUGAGAGGUGAAAUUCUUGGACCGUGGCCAGACAAACUACAGCGAAACAUUUGCCAAGAAUGUCUUCAUUAAUCAAGAACGAAAGUCAGAGGUUCGAAGGCGAUCAGAUACCGCCCUAGUUCUGACCGUAAACGAUGCCAACUAGCGAUCCGCCGAUGGAAAUUAUAUUGCCUUGGUGGGGAGCUUCCCGGAAACGAAAGUCUUCCGGUUCCGGGGGAAGUAUGGUUGCAAAGCUGAAACUUAAAGGAAUUGACGGAAGGGCACCACCAGGAGUGGAGCCUGCGGCUUAAUUUGACUCAACACGGGGAAACUCACCCGGCCCGGACACUGUGAGGAUUGACAGAUUGAUAGCUUUUUCAUGAUUCAGUGGAUGGUGGUGCAUGGCCGUUCUUAGUUCGUGGAGUGAUUUGUCUGGUUUAUUCCGAUAACGAGCGAGACUCUAACCUACUAAAUAGCUGGUACAUAAUUUAAGUGUAUACAGCUUCUUAGAGGGAUUUGCGGUGUUCAGCCGAAAGAAAUUGAGCAAUAACAGGUCUGUGAUGCCCUUAGAUGUCCGGGGCUGCACGAUGCUACACUGGCAAAAUCAACGUGCUUGUAAAGAAUUCAAAUUAUUCUUUAUCAAGCUACGGCAACAAAUUGAAAUAAUUGUUGUCGGCAAACUCAAAAUUUAAUUUAAACUUAAUUUAUUUUAAAUUAAAAAAUUCUUUUUUCCAAAGAUUUAAUUUUAUUAAAAAAAUAUAUUUUUUAAAAAAUGGUAAACAAGAAGGUGAAUAAUAAUGGUUUUGGCUUUUCUUUUAUAUAAAAGCCAAGCGGGAAAAAAUGCAGAAAGGCGAUAAAGAGAGGGAACAUAG
rnacentral:rRNA from 1 species